rnacentral:rRNA from 1 species
UUAAGCCAUGCAAGUCGAACGAGUUUAGGCUCGUGGCGUACGGCUCAGUAACACGUGGAUAACCUACCCUUAGGACUGGGAUAACCCUGGGAAACUGGGGAUAAUACCGGAUAGGCAAUUUUUCCUGUAAUGGUUUUUUGUUUAAAUGUUUUUUCGCCUAAGGAUGGGUCUGCGGCCGAUUAGGUAGUUGGUUAGGUAAUGGCUUACCAAGCCGUUGAUCGGUACGGGUUGUGAGAGCAAGAGCCCGGAGAUGGAACCUGAGACAAGGUUCCAGGCCCUACGGGGUGCAGCAGGCGCGAAACCUCCGCAAUGUGAGAAAUCGCGACGGGGGGAUCCCAAGUGCCAUUCUUAACGGGAUGGCUUUUCAUUAGUGUAAAGAGCUUUUGGAAUAAGGGCUGGGCAAGACCGGUGCCAGCCGCCGCGGUAACACCGGCAGCUCUAGUGGUAGCAGUUUUUAUUGGGCCUAAAGCGUCCGUAGCCGGUUUAAUAAGUCUCUGGUGAAAUCCUGUAGCUUAACUGUGGGAAUUGCUGGAGAUACUAUUAGACUUGAGACCGGGAGAGGUUAGAGGUACUCCCAGGGUAGAGGUGAAAUUCUGUAAUCCUGGGAGGACCGCCUGUUGCGAAGGCGUCUAACUGGAACGGUUCUGACGGUGAGGGACGAAAGUUAGGGGCGCGAACCGGAUUAGAUACCCGGGUAGUCCUAACUGUAAACGAUGCGGACUUGGUGUUGGGGUGGCUUUGAGCUGCUCCAGUGCCGAUGGGAAGCUGUUAAGUCCGCCGCCUGGGAAGUACGGUCGCAAGACUGAAACUUAAAGGAAUUGGCGGGGGAGCACCACAACGCGUGAGCCUGCGGUUUAAUUGGAUUCAACGCCGGACAUCUCACCAGAGGCGACAGCUGUAUGAUAGCCAGGUUGAUGACUUUGCUUGACUAGCUAGUGAGGGGACUGGCCGCAUGGAGAUCUUGCUGAAAA